GGCGGACGGGUGAGUAACACGUGGGUAACCUACCCAUCGGAGGGGGAUAACACUUGGAAACAGGUGCUAAUACCGCAUAACAGUUUAUGCCGCAUGGCAUAAGAGUGAAAGGCGCUUUCGGGUGUCGCUGAUGGAUGGACCCGCGGUGCAUUAGCUAGUUGGUGAGGUAACGGCUCACCAAGGCCACGAUGCAUAGCCCACCUGAGAGGGUGAUCGGCCACACUGGGACUGAGACACGGCCCAGACUCCUACGGGAGGCAGCAGUAGGGAAUCUUCGGCAAUGGACGAAAGUCUGACCGAGCAACGCCGCGUGAGUGAAGAAUGUUUUCGGAUCGUAAAACUCUGUUGUUAGAGAAGAACAAGGACGUUAGUAACUGAACGUCCCCUGACGGUAUCUAACCAGAAAGCCACGGCUAACUACGUGCCAGCAGCCGCGGUAAUACGUAGGUGGCAAGCGUUGUCCGGAUUUAUUGGGCGUAAAGCGAGCGCAGGCGGUUUCUUAAGUCUGAUGUGAAAGCCCCCGGCUCUACCGGGGAGGGUCAUUGGAAACUGGGAGACUUGAGUGCANAAGAGGAGAGUGGAAUUCCAUGUGUGGCGGUGAAAU
rnacentral:rRNA from 1 species